rnacentral:rRNA from 1 species
AUUGAACGCUGGCGGCAUGCCUUACACAUGCAAGUCGAACGGUAACGCGGGGCAACCUGGCGACGAGUGGCGAACGGGUGAGUAAAGCAUCGGAACGUGCCCAGUAGUGGGGGAUAGCCCGGCGAAAGCCGGAUUAAUACCGCAUACGACCUAUGGGUGAAAGGGGGGGAUCGCAAGACCUCUCGCUAUUGGAGCGGCCGAUGUCAGAUUAGGUAGUUGGUGGGGUAAAGGCCUACCAAGCCGACGAUCUGUAGCUGGUCUGAGAGGACGACCAGCCACACUGGGACUGAGACACGGCCCAGACUCCUACGGGAGGCAGCAGUGGGGAAUUUUGGACAAUGGGCGCAAGCCUGAUCCAGCCAUGCCGCGUGCGGGAAGAAGGCCUUCGGGUUGUAAACCGCUUUUGUCAGGGAAGAAAUCCUUUGGGUUAAUACCUCGGGGGGAUGACGGUACCUGAAGAAUAAGCACCGGCUAACUACGUGCCAGCCGCCGCGGUAAAAC